CCUACGGGAGACAGCAGUGGGGAAUAUUGCACAAUGGGGGAAACCCUGAUGCAGCGACGCCGCGUGAAGGAAGAAGUAUUUCGGUAUGUAAACUUCUAUCAGCAGGGAAGAAAAUGACGGUACCUGACUAAGAAGCCCCGGCUAACUACGUGCCAGCAGCCGCGGUAAUACGUAGGGGGCAAGCGUUAUCCGGAUUUACUGGGUGUAAAGGGAGCGUAGGCGGUGAUGCAAGUCAGAAGUGAAAGCCCGCAGCUCAACUGCGGGACUGCUUUUGAAACUGUACGGCUGGAGUGCAGGAGAGGUAAGUGGAAUUCCUAGUGUAGCGGUGAAAUGCGUAGAUAUUAGGAGGAACACCAGUGGCGAAGGCGGCUUACUGGACUGUAACUGACGUUGAGGCUCGAAAGCGUGGGGAGCAAACAGGAUUAGAUACCCGAGUAGUC
rnacentral:rRNA from 1 species